rnacentral:rRNA from 1 species
AAUGAACGCUGGCGGCGCGCCUAAUACAUGCAAGUCGAGCGAGAAGACGUAGCAAUACGUUUGUAAAGCGGCGAACGGGUGAGGAAUACAUGGGUAACCUACCCUCGAGUGGGGAAUAACUAGCCGAAAGGUUAGCUAAUACCGCGUACGCUCCUUGGACUUCGGUUCAGGGAGGAAAGCGAUACCGUGGGUAUCGCGCUCUUGGAUGGGCUCAUGUCCUAUCAGCNGUUGGUGAGGUAACGGCUCACCAAGGCUUCGACGGGUAGCUGGUCUGAGAGGACGAUCAGCCACACUGGCACUGCGACACGGGCCAGACUCCUACGGGAGGCAGCAGUAAGGAAUAUUGCGCAAUGGGCGAAAGCCUGACGCAGCGACGCCGCGUGGGGGA